rnacentral:misc_RNA from 1 species
AAAGUCGUAACAAGGUUUCCGUAGGUGAACCUGCGGAAGGAUCAUUAAAGAAACACUCGAGGAUGUUGCUGGCCCUGGCAUAUACGGGGCAUGUGCACUCCUUGAAACAUUCUGACCCAUUCUUACACCUGUGCAUUACUUGUAGGCACUGGGGAAUUGAAACUCCUCCGGGGUCUAUGUAUUUUAUAUUCUUACAAACACCUUUGAAUGUUAUCAAUUUGGCCCACACGAAGUAUUUCAGAAAAUGAAGCCUUUGUGCUGGUUCCAAAGUUAUUUUAAUAAUCAACACAACUUUCAACAAUGGAUCUCUUGGCUCUC